rnacentral:rRNA from 1 species
UGGGGAAUCUUCCACAAUGGACGAAAGUCUGACGGAGCAACGCCGCGUGAGUGAUGACGGCCUUCGGGUUGUAAAGCUCUGUUAAUCGGGACGAAUGGUUCUUGUGCGAAUAGUGCGAGGAUUUGACGGUACCGGAAUAGAAAGCCACGGCUAACUACGUGCCAGCAGCCGCGGUAAUACGUAGGUGGCAAGCGUUGUCCGGAAUUAUUGGGCGUAAAGCGCGCGCAGGCGGAUUGGUCAGUCUGUCUUAAAAGUUCGGGGCUUAACCCCGUGAUGGGAUGGAAACUGCCAAUCUAGAGUAUCGGAGAGGAAAGUGGAAUUCCUAGUGUAGCGGUGAAAUGCGUAGAUAUUAGGAAGAACACCAGUGGCGAAGGCGACUUUCUGGACGAAAACUGACGCUGAGGCGCGAAAGCCAGGGGAGCGAACGGGAUUAGAUACCCCGGUAGUCCUGGCCGUAAACGAUGGGUACUAGGUGUAGGAGGUAUCGACCCCUUCUGUGCCGGAGUUAACGCAAUAAGUACCCCGCCUGGGGAGUACGACCGCAAGGUUG